AUUGAACGCUGGUGGCAGGCCUAACACAUGCAAGUCGAACGGUAACAGGGAUCAGCUUGCUGAUUCGCUGACGAGUGGCGGACGGGUGAGUAAUGUCUGGGAAACUGCCUGAUGGAGGGGGAUAACUACUGGAAACGGUAGCUAAUACCGCAUAACGUCGCAAGACCAAAGAGGGGGACCUUCGGGCCUCUUGCCAUCGGAUGUGCCCAGAUGGGAUUAGCUAGUAGGUGGGGUAACGGCUCACCUAGGCGACGAUCCCUAGCUGGUCUGAGAGGAUGACCAGCCACACUGGAACUGAGACACGGUCCAGACGCCUACGGGAGGCAGCAGUGGGGAAUAUUGCACAAUGGGCGCAAGCCUGAUGCAGCCAUGCCGCGUGUAUGAAGAAGGCCUUCGGGUUGUAAAGUACUUUCAGCGGGGAGGAAGGGAGUAAAGUUAAUACCUUUGCUCAUUGACGUUACCCGCAGAAGAAGCACCGGCUAACUCCGUG
rnacentral:rRNA from 1 species